UGGAAGAAAGUUUGAUCCUGGCUCAGGGAUGAACGCUGGCGGCGUGCCUAAUACAUGCAAGUCGAGCGAAUGGAUUAAGAGCUUGCUCUUAUGAAGUUAGCGGCGGACGGGUGAGUAACACGUGGGUAACCUGCCCAUAAGACUGGGAUAACUCCGGGAAACCGGGGCUAAUACCGGAUAACAUUUUGAACCGCAUGGUUCGAAAUUGAAAGGCGGCUUCGGCUGUCACUUAUGGAUGGACCCGCGUCGCAUUAGCUAGUUGGUGAGGUAACGGCUCACCAAGGCAACGAUGCGUAGCCGACCUGAGAGGGUGAUCGGCCACACUGGGACUGAGACACGGCCCAGACUCCUACGGGAGGCAGCAGUAGGGAAUCUUCCGCAAUGGACGAAAGUCUGACGGAGCAACGCCGCGUGAGUGAUGAAGGCUUUCGGGUCGUAAAACUCUGUUGUUAGGGAAGAACAAGUAGCUAGUUGAAUAAGCUGGCACCUUGACGGUACCUAACCAGAAA
rnacentral:rRNA from 1 species